ACAGAGGGUGCAAGCGUUGCUCGGAAUUACUGGGCGUAAAGGGUAAGUAGGUGGUCUUGUUUGUCUGGGGUGAAAUCCCUGAGCUUAACUUAGGAAGUGCCUUAGAAACGGCAAGACUAGAGUCCUGGAGAGGGUCGUGGAAUUCCCGGUGUAGCGGUGAAAUGCGUAGAGAUCGGGAGGAACACCAGAGGCGAAAGCGGCGACCUGGACAGGUACUGACACUCAACUACGAAAGCGUGGGGAGCAAACAG
rnacentral:rRNA from 1 species